GAUGAAGAACGUAGCGAAAUGCGAUACGUAGUGUGAAUUGCAGAAUUCAGUGAAUCAUCGAAUCUUUGAACGCACAUUGCACCUCUCGGUAUUCCGAGGGGCAUGCCUGUUCGAGCGUCAUUAUAACCCCUCAAGCUCAGCUUGGUGUUGGGGCCUGCUGCACUGGCAGCCCUUAAAAUCAGUGGCGGCGCCAUCUGGCUCUAAGCGUAGUAAUUCUUCUCGCUAUGGAGUCCUGGUGGAUGCUUGCCAUCAACCCCCAAUUUUUCUAUGGUUGACCUCGGAUCAGGUAGGGAUACCCGCUGAACUUAAGCAUAUCAUAAGCGGAGGA
rnacentral:misc_RNA from 1 species